rnacentral:lncRNA from 1 species
CGGCACUGUUACAAGUUUCCCCUUUACUCAGAGCUACAGUACACAGGCUACAUCUGUCCUUAGUGGAUCUGGCUGCCUUUCUUACCUACUUAAAUAUAACUUUCAACUUACUGUGCCGAUAUAUUUGCUUGCAGCAGUACGGGUAUUGGGUUCUCCUUAUCGCUCCUGACAUGGAAAGGAAGAAAUGUAAUCUUAAGUGAAAUGUUCAGACUUCUCGUGAAUAGGAGUUCUUGAUGUUUUCUAAAGAGAUACUAAUAUAACCUCCCAAGAGGUGCCAUGCAAAUGUCUGGGUACAUAAAUGAAAAUGGUGAUGGCUACUUACUAUCCAUAAUGUCUUUCAAAGGACUAGGUAAGCUAGAGCUGUAUUUGUAAGUCUAGAAGUAUGAAACAACAAUAGUUUUUUGGGUAAGUAGAGCCAUGGACAUUUAAUACUAUGAUACUGCAAACAAUUUGUAAAUAUGUUGUGAGAGAUAAGAAAAAAAAAUCAAGAGGGUAUAAUCUAUAAUAUAGAUUAUAUAUAAUUAUAUAUAAUUAUUGUUGUAUAUAUAUAAUUAUAGAUUAUAUACAACAAAAAAGUCAAUAUAUUUAUAUAAUAUAAUCUAUAAUUAUAUAUAAUUACUUAAUUAUAGAUUAUAUAUAAUUAUAUUAAUUAUAUAACUAUAGAUUAUAUAAUUAAUAUAACUAAUAU